GACGAACGCUGGCGGCGUGCUUAACACAUGCAAGUCGAGCGGUAAGGCCCUUUCGGGGGUACACGAGCGGCGAACGGGUGAGUAACACGUGGGUGACCUGCCUCUAGCUCUGGGAUAAGCCCGGGAAACUGGGUCUAAUACUGGAUAUGACUCCAUGACGCAUGUUGUGGGUGGAAAGCCUUGUGCGGCUAGAGAUGGGCCCGCGGCCUAUCAGCGUUGUUGGUGGGNGAUGGCCUACCAAGGCGACGACGGGUAGCCGGCCUGAG
rnacentral:rRNA from 1 species